rnacentral:lncRNA from 10 species
CCCAAUAACACCAGUGCAGCCUGUCUAGUUGCAAAUACUAACAGUAGAAUGUUUCUUGCCUUGUUUGGUAGACCAUCCAUUUCUUUCCCUUACUUGUUUUAUGUAUAUCUUAAAGGUUGCUUUUUUGGUUUGUUGAUUUGUUUUACAAAUGCUUAUUGAGUGUUUGCUAUGUAGAAGGCACUGUUUCUAGACAUAUGAGGAUAACAGUGAUUAACAAAACACAAAACUCCUGCCUUCCUAAGGGAUAGAAAUACACGAUAAACAAGUAAACAAAUUAAUUAUAAUUUGAUAUGGUAAUGAGUGCAAAGAAGACAACCAAAUGCAGUGAUAUGAUAGAAUGAAGAAUUAAAAAGCUGCUUUGGGUCGGAUUGUGAUGCUUGCGUGGAGCUUGGAGAAGCAGCAGCCAACUGAGGGAAGAGUCUUCUAGGCAGAGGGAAGAGCCAGAGUGAAGACACUGAGCACUUGCUCUGAAAUUUGGGGACUGAGUACACCAAAUACGAUAGAUCAGUGGGAUACAACAGGCCUUUACAGCUUCUCUGAACAAACCAGGU